rnacentral:rRNA from 1 species
GACGAACGCUGGCGGCGUGCUUAACACAUGCAAGUCGAACGGAAAGGCCCUGCUUUUGUGGGGUGCUCGAGUGGCGAACGGGUGAGUAACACGUGAGUAACCUGCCCUUGACUUUGGGAUAACUUCAGGAAACUGGGGCUAAUACCGGAUAGGAGCUCCUGCUGCAUGGUGGGGGUUGGAAAGUUUCGGCGGUUGGGGAUGGACUCGCGGCUUAUCAGCUGGUUGGGGGGGUAGUGGCUUACCAAGGCUUUGACGGGUAGCCGGCCUGAGAGGGUGACCGGCCACAUUGGGACUGAGAUACGGCCCAGACUCCUACGGGAGGCAGCAGUGGGGAAUAUUGCACAAUGGGCGGAAGCCUGAUGCAGCAACGCCGCGUGCGGGAUGACGGCCUUCGGGUUGUAAACCGCUUUCGCCUGUGACGAAGCGUGAGUGACGGUAAUGGGUAAAGAAGCACCGGCUAACUACGUG